rnacentral:rRNA from 1 species
CCGUCGCCGAUCAAGACGUCGCGACCUGUUCGCGGCCGGUCCCUGCUCGGAGGAGCUGCGUUCGAGUUCGUUGCGUGCGCGUUUCGGCGUGUCACGCGGCGAAGGCGCGGAUCUCUGGCUGGCCGUCGGACAGUACGCUUAACGGUGUCCGGUGUCGUCGUCUCGUACGCGCGCGCACCGGUACCGGUCAGCGACGAAUUCUUCGGGCCUCUUUCCGACCCGUCUUGAAACACGGACCAAGGAGUCUAACAUGCGCGCGAGUCGCGGGGUGUCGAGCGUACUUCGGUGCGUUCGUUACGUUGCGAAACCCGUACAUGUCGAAGGCGUAAUGAAAGUGAAUGGGGAAGAUGGUGUUCCGAGUACACGUUCCGCGAUCGCUGGUAUCGCGGCCGGACACCCGCAUUCCUGGGGCGUCUCAACGGCCCGUCGCUGAUGCGGACAGUCGUCUCUCGGGGCGGCUGUCGGUCGGCGAUGAACCGAGGCGCACCUAUAGCGUGCACGUUGGUACCCGAAAGAUGGUGAACUAUGCCUGGCC